UCUGCUGGAGUUUUGUAAGUGAGCCCAGGAUAGGGGUAAGCCUUCUAUUUAUUCUCCUUUUGUUAGCUUAGUCUGCUUUGUCAAACUCUCUUGUUUAUUUCAUAAUGACAACAUCUUAAUAGUCAUUGAUUAUACACGUGCACUAAGUACUUUUUCUUCUUGUUUUAGACUACUCCAACGUACUUGGCCAAGCUGCUUUUGCAGAUGCCUCAAAACAACCCCACAGAGUUCAUGGAUUCAGCCAUCUUCACGCUGCAUAACUACGCAUCCAGUCAGAGAGAGGAAUCUCUGCUGUUGCGGCUGUUGCAAACAGCAUUGCAGGAAGAGAUCAAAUGCGCUCUUUCAACCGUGGUGCCCGUGGUCAGAACGCACUGAGGCAGAUCUUGGCCCCAGUUGUGAAGGAAAUAAUUGAGGGCGAAUCGCUCAACGUCAGAACGGAUCCAGUGGAUAUUUACAAGUGCUGGGUGAACCAGAUGGGAUCUCAGAAUGGUGAGGCCGGGCACUUCAAGGGAAGUGGUGGAAAAGCAAUGCUAUGAAGUAAAAGACAACUGUCCCAGCGCAGCACGCUGCGUGAGUUACUAUCUUAACACUGCAAUGUGCAGCUUGUGUUUUCACUGAUUUA